rnacentral:rRNA from 1 species
AUUGAACGCUGGCGGCAGGCUUAACACAUGCAAGUCGAACGAGUGGCGGACGGGUGAGUAAUGUCUGGGAAACUGCCUGAUGGAGGGGGAUAAAUACUGGAAACGGUAUCUAAUACCGCAUACCAUCAGCUGAGGCCAGAUGGGAUUAGCUAGUUGGUGGGGUAACGGCUCACCAAGGCGACGAUCCCUAUCUGGUAGGGGAGGAUGACCGGCAAACUUGGAACUGGUACACGGUCCAGAUCCCAACGGGGGGCACCAGUGGGGAAUAUUGAACAAUGGGCGCAAGCCUGAUGCAGCCAUGCGGCGUGUAUGUAGAAGGCCUUCGGGUUGUAAAGUACUUUCAGCGGGGAGACGUUACCGGCAUAGGAAGCACCGGCUAACUCCGUGCCAGCAGCCGCGGUAAUUC